AACUCCUACGGGAGGCAGCAGUGGGGAAUAUUGCACAAUGGGCGAAAGCCUGAUGCAGCAACGCCGCGUGAGGGAUGAAGGCCUUCGGGUCGUAAAACUCUGUCCUCAAGGAAGAUAAUGACGGUACUUGAGGAGGAAGCCCCGGCUAACUACGUGCCAGCAGCCGCGGUAAUACGUAGGGGGCUAGCGUUAUCCGGAUUUACUGGGCGUAAAGGGUGCGUAGGCGGUCUUUCAAGUCAGGAGUGAAAGGCUACG
rnacentral:rRNA from 1 species